rnacentral:rRNA from 1 species
UACGUAGGGGGCAAGCGUUGUCCGGAUUUAUUGGGCGUAAAGAGCGUGUAGGCGGCCAGACAGGUCCGUUGUGAAAACUCGAGGCUCAACCUCGAGAUGUCGAUGGAAACCGUCUGGCUAGAGUCCGGAAGAGGAGUGUGGAAUUCCUGGUGUAGCGGUGAAAUGCGCAGAUAUCUGGAGGAACACCGGUGGCGAAGGCGGCAUCCUGGACCAAUUCUGACGCUGAGGAGCGAAAGCCAGGGGAGCAAACGGG